GUUCAGGGCUGCAGUAGGUGACCUGCGGAAGGACAUUA
rnacentral:rRNA from 1 species